CCUGGCUCAGGACGAACGCUGGCGGCGCGCCUAACACAUGCAAGUCGAACGAGCGAGAGAGAGCUUGCUUUCUCGAGCGAGUGGCGAACGGGUGAGUAACGCGUGAGGAACCUGCCUCAAAGAGGGGGACAACAGUUGGAAACGACUGCUAAUACCGCAUAAGCCCACAGCUCGGCAUCGAGCAGAGGGAAAAGGAGCAAUCCGCUUUGAGAUGGCCUCGCGUCCGAUUAGCUAGUUGGUGAGGUAAUGGCCCACCAAGGCGACGAUCGGUAGCCGGACUGAGAGGUUGAACGGCCACAUUGGGACUGAGACACGGCCCAGACUCCUACGGGAGGCAGCAGUGGGGAAUAUUGCACAAUGGGGGAAACCCUGAUGCAGCGACGCCGCGUGGAGGAAGAAGGUCUUCGGAUUGUAAACUCCUGUUGUUGAGGAAGAUAAUGACGGUACUCAACAAGGAAGUGACGGCUAACUACGUGCCAGCAGCCGCGGUAAAACGUAGGUCACAAGCGUUGUCCGGAAUUACUGGGUGUAAAGGGAGCGCAGGCGGGAAGACAAGUUGGAAGUGAAAUCCAUGGGCUCAACCCAUGAACUGCUUUCAAAACUGUUUUUCUUGAGUAGUGCAGAGGUAGGCGGAAUUCCCGGUGUAGCGGUGGAAUGCGUAGAUAUCGGGAGGAACACCAGUGGCGAAGGCGGCCUACUGGGCACCAACUGACGCUGAGGCUCGAAAGUGUGGGUAGCAAACAGGAUUAGAUACCCUGGUAGUCCACACUGUAAACGAUGAUUACUAGGUGUUGGAGGAUUGACCCCUUCAGUGCCGCAGUUAACACAAUAAGUAAUCCACCUGGGGAGUACGACCGCAAGGUUGAAACUCAAAGGAAUUGACGGGGGCCCGCACAAGCAGUGGAGUAUGUGGUUUAAUUCGACGCAACGCGAAGAACCUUACCAAGUCUUGACAUCCCUUGACGAUGCUGGAAACAGUAUUUCUCUUCGGAGCAAGGAGACAGGUGGUGCAUGGUUGUCGUCAGCUCGUGUCGUGAGAUGUUGGGUUAAGUCCCGCAACGAGCGCAACCCUUAUGGUCAGUUACUACGCAAGAGGACUCUGGCCAGACUGCCGUUGACAAAACGGAGGAAGGUGGGGAUGACGUCAAAUCAUCAUGCCCUUUAUGACUUGGGCUACACACGUACUACAAUGGCGUUAAACAAAGAGAAGCAAGACCGCGAGGUGGAGCAAAGCUCAGAAACAAGUCCCAGUUCGGACUGCAGGCUGCAACUCGCCUGCACGAAGUCGGAAUUGCUAGUAAUCGCAGAUCAGCAUGCUGCGGUGAAUACGUUCCCGGGCCUUGUACACACCGCCC
rnacentral:rRNA from 1 species